UCUCUUUAACUUGACUCUAUUUUUUUCUCUCCCCGUCUCUUCCCUGGCCUUGCCCUCUCUCUUCCUGCCUCGUAGCCGUGGGCGUCCAAAUGAAGCUGGAAUUCCUCCAGCGCAAAUUCUGGGCGGCAACACGGCAGGAUCUGGACUGCUUCGUCAUCGACAACAACGGGUUCAUUCUGAUCUCCAAGAGGUCCCGAGAGACGGGAAGAUUUCUGGGGGAGGUGGAUGGUGCUGUCCUGACCCAGCUGCUCAGCAUGGGGGUGUUCAGCCAAGUGACCAUGUAUGACUAUCAGGCCAUGUGCAAACCCUCGAGUCACCAUCACAGUGCAGCCCAGCCCCUGGUCAGCCCAAUUUCUGCCUUCUUGACGGCGACCAGGUGGCUGCUGCAGGAGCUGGUGCUGUGAGUGGGGGUAGACACGGGGCUGGUGGAGGGCUGCAUGCGAGGGUGGCUUAGGAGGGUGUCCUUGAGCAGGAGGCUGCAAGGUCUCCAGGACAACCCACUUGCUACCAGACCCUGGGGAAGGAGGGCACAAUCCCUGGGCAUGGACACCACCUCUU
rnacentral:sRNA from 1 species